AAGGGUUUGAUCCUGGCUCAGAUUGAACGCUGGCGGCAGGCCUAACACAUGCAAGUCGAGCGGAUGAAGGGAGCUUGCUCCUGGAUUCAGCGGCGGACGGGUGAGUAAUGCCUAGGAAUCUGCCUGGUAGUGGGGGAUAACGUCCGGAAACGGGCGCUAAUACCGCAUACGUCCUGAGGGAGAAAGUGGGGGAUCUUCGGACCUCACGCUAUCAGAUGAGCCUAGGUCGGAUUAGCUAGUUGGUGGGGUAAAGGCCUACCAAGGCGACGAUCCGUAACUGGUCUGAGAGGAUGAUCAGUCACACUGGAACUGAGACACGGUCCAGACUCCUACGGGAGGCAGCAGUGGGGAAUAUUGGACAAUGGGCGAAAGCCCGAUCCAGCCAUGCCGCGUGUGUGAAGAAGGUCUUCGGAUUGUAAAGCACUUUAAGUUGGGAGGAAGGGCAGUAAGUUAAUACCUUGCUGUUUUGACGUUACCAACAGAAUAAGCACCGGCUAACUUCGUGCCAGCAGCCGCGGUAAUACGAAGGGUGCAAGCGUUAAUCGGAAUUACUGGGCGUAAAGCGCGCGUAGGUGGUUCAGCAAGUUGGAUGUGAAAUCCCCGGGCUCAACCUGGGAACUGCAUCCAAAACUACUGAGCUAGAGUACGGUAGAGGGUGGUGGAAUUUCCUGUGUAGCGGUGAAAUGCGUAGAUAUAGGAAGGAACACCAGUGGCGAAGGCGACCACCUGGACUGAUACUGACACUGAGGUGCGAAAGCGUGGGGAGCAAACAGGAUUAGAUACCCUGGUAGUCCACGCCGUAAACGAUGUCGACUAGCCGUUGGGAUCCUUGAGAUCUUAGUGGCGCAGCUAACGCGAUAAGUCGACCGCCUGGGGAGUACGGCCGCAAGGUAAAACUCAAAGGAAUUGACGGG
rnacentral:rRNA from 1 species